rnacentral:rRNA from 1 species
AAUGAACGCUAGCGAUAGGCUUAACACAUGCAAGUUGAACGCUUAUUUUUAUAAAAAUAAGAGUAGCAAACGGGUGAGUAACACGUGAGAAUCUACCUUAUAGUUCGGCAUAAGAUUUAUUUUAUCUAAUUCCGAAUAUGAAAAGGUAAAACCCGCUAUAAGACGAGCUCGCGGAAGAUUAGGUAGUUGGUGAGAUAAUGGCUCACCAAGCCAAAGAUCUUUAGCUGAUCUGAGAGGAUGAUUAGCCACACUGGGACUGAGACACGGCCCAGACGCUUUCGAGCGGCAGCAGUGAGGAAUCUUGGACAAUGAGCGAAAGCUUGAUCCAGCCAUAUCGCGUGAGUGAUGAAGACUAUUUUGGUUGUAAAACUCUAAAUUCAAAUAAAGAUUAUGACAUUAUUUGAAAAAAAGUCCCGGCCAACUUCGUGCCAGCAGCCGCCGUAAAAC